CGGCGUGCCUAAUACAUGCAAGUCGAGCGAACGGACGAGAAGCUUGCUUCUCUGAUGUUAGCGGCGGACGGGUGAGUAACACGUGGAUAACCUACCUAUAAGACUGGGAUAACUUCGGGAAACCGGAGCUAAUACCGGAUAAUAUUUUGAACCGCAUGGUUCAAAAGUGAAAGACGGUCUUGCUGUCACUUAUAGAUGGAUCCGCGCUGCAUUAGCUAGUUGGUAAGGUAACGGCUUACCAAGGCAACGAUGCAUAGCCGACCUGAGAGGGUGAUCGGCCACACUGGAACUGAGACACGGUCCAGACUCCUACGGGAGGCAGCAGUAGGGAAUCUUCCGCAAUUGGGCGAAAGCCUGACGGAGCAACGCCGCGUGACUGAUGAAGGUCUUCGGAUCGUAGAACUCUGUUAUUAGGGAAGAACAUAUGUGUAAGUAACUGUGCACAUCUUGACGGUACCUAAUCAGAAUGCCACGGCUAACUACGUGCCAGCAGCCGCGGUAAUACGUAGGUGGCAAGCGUUAUCCGGAAUUAUUGGGCGUAAAGCGCGCGUAGGCGGUUUUUUAAGUCUGAUGUGAAAGCCCACGGCUCAACCGUGGAGGGUCAUUGGAAACUGGAAAACUUGAGUGCAGAAGAGGAAAGUGGAAUUCCAUGUGUAGCGGUGAAAUGCGCAGAGAUAUGGAGGAACACCAGUGGCGAAGGCGACUUUCUGGUCUGUAACUGACGCUGAUGUGCGAA
rnacentral:rRNA from 1 species